rnacentral:rRNA from 1 species
UACGGAGGGUGCGAGCGUUGUCCGGAAUCAUUGGGCGUAAAGGGCGCGUAGGUGGCCUGCUAAGCGUGCGGUGAAAGUCGGGGGCUCAACCCCCGAUCGGCCGUGCGAACUGACAGACUUGAGGGCUUCAGAGGGACACGGAAUUCCGGGUGGAGUGGUGAAAUGCGUAGAGAUCCGGAGGAACACCAAAGGCGAAGGCAGUGUCCUGGGGAGUACCUGACGCUCAGGUGCGAAAGCCAGGGGAGCGAACGGG